ACAACAAAAAAUGGAUAUUGGGACACUUUAAUAGGGACAUUUUUUAUUUAGUGCCUCCAAAAUUUAGUAUUGAGGCACUUAGUCAAUUUCAUAAUAGGACACGACACUUCAAAAAAUCAAACCCAAACCCACCGCCCAAAUAUUCAUUUCAAUUUUCAUUUUUAAGGGUAUUUGCUACUCCACCACUCAAACCCACGACCCCAACCUUCAAAUAUCAAUUCCUAGUUCAGUUUGGUCCUUUGUCCUGAACCCGCCGGGCCGCUGCUCUCUCGGUCGGAGUCGCCGAGUCGGAACCCUUCGAUUGACGCCUCCCCUCGCGCCGUGCCGCCAGCAACUGCCUCCCCGUCACGCCGGCAGCAGUCUCCAAUCUCCAGUAAGAUACUAAUAUUCUAGAUAGAGAAAGAGAAAUCGGAAAGAAGAGAGAGAUGAGCUGUAAAUGUAAUUGGCGUAUGUCUGUAUGUAGAAUUCGUCUCCUACUUCUCGUUCCCUCUUCCAAUUUUCACGGUACCCACCAAUUUCACAACCAUUCACUCUUCUCUCCUUUUAUCUCACAAUUUUCGAUUUUUAUUUUAUUUUUCAUCACUAAUUUUCCAACCCUUCACGCAUUACUUAUUGCUGCGCCGUCGACAUCCUCCUGCUGCGGCGUCGUGGUUGGUGAGCCGCUGAUUUCUGCUGUUCGUUCGGCUGCAACAUCUUGCCUCUACUUUCUGCUACCUUCUAUGGUGAAGAGCGCAAUCAAUCACGGUAACUGGAUCCAAGUUAUGAAGGCAGGUAGGAGAGUCAUUCCAUCCACCAAAGACUUGUACAGUAGUUUCUUGGACCUUUCGGAUCUUCUAUGAGAAGUGGUUUUGUUGCUGGGAUGAGAAAAAAGGAUUGGAUGACAUGUUUUCCAUUUGCACCUCAAGACAAUGAUGUUGAUCCAGUGAAUUAUCUGCCUCCUCUAUAGAAGGUAAAACAGAUAUCAGAUUUUUAUUGAAGUAGGUGAACAAGGGAAUCAAAAUUCUAAACAAGAUUCAUCUCGUUGCUAUGCAAUUCUAGGGGAGAUCGGGUCAAUUUGGUUAGAGCUGGUAAACACCAGGUUAAUGUCUCCCUUAGAAGAGGACUUCAUGAAGUUGCAUUGAUUUAUUUAUUGUGUCUUCCAAGAAACAUUUUAGAAACGCAGUUUGAUAGCUUAUCUGAACUAGAGGAAUAAGCUGGUAAUGUAGAUUGAAUCUCUUCUUUCAUAAAUUCAUAUCAACUGAUGGGAGAUUUUAUAUAUCAGGUUGUUUUUCUUGUGAAAUGACCAAAUUUACUUGGUCUGCAUAAGUUGUUGCACAGAAGAACCUUAUGAAUCAUUGAAGGGUCAGCUGGAGUUACUGUAUGGUCAGAUGAUACUAAUUCUGCCACUUUUCAUGCCUACUCGUGUCUUUCCCUUGCUUAUGCUACUUGUCAAGCUGUGGCUUCCAUCUUACAAGAUGUUGCUGGCUCAGGAGUCUUAUUUGCACUAUUGAAUCAUUGAUGUGCAAACACAAGGUAACUGUUAUAUCUUUGCCUUUCUUUAGGGUGGUCUUGUUGCACAAAAUAGGGCAACUGCAUAUGGGAUAUUUUAGAUGAUGGUGUUGAUGAUUUGUUUCCCUGAACCUCACUUGCAUAUUACCUAACAGAUAUCAGGCUUCAAUAUGUUGCCUCUAUUUGUUCAAUUACUUGUCCUAAGACAAGACUUCUGGCAUAACUUCGUAGUCUUUUAUAAGUAGUGUUUUUUUUCCCUAGGCAGUGAAGACGUGCAAUAUAAGUUGUGUAUUCUUUUGGCUGUAACGUUACAGAAAUACUGCCAUCACAGAUUGAAAUGCAAUGCAUGUCAUUAGUCUUGUUAACGCCCAAAAAGCAUCUCUUCAUCCUGAAGAUAUACUGUUGCUCUCAACUUUAUCAUGUCCUCUGAAUCUUUCAGACUCAACGUGAUGAGUUGGAGGCAAAAAUUUUUGAGGAGAGAGCAGCACUUGAAGACAAAUACCAGAAGGCAAAUUUUUUUUAGGAGAAAGCAGCACUUGAAGCCAAAUACCAGAAAUUGUAUCAGCCUCUCGUAGAGUGACAUUAUUUCUCUUAUAUGUUGGUUGGUUGAUUUAUUCACUUGUUGGAAUAGAGGAGUGGUUUUGUAUGCGACAUAUUCUUCGUUUCUGGAUGCUUUGUUUUCUCGUUACAUCAACUGUGUACUUGUUUCAGUAUUUUCAUUGUAACCUUUAAUUUAUUUUGAAUGUUAGAAUAAGUGUUCCAUA